rnacentral:rRNA from 1 species
GACGAACGCUGGCGGCGUGCUUAACACAUGCAAGUCGAACGGAAAGGCCCUGCUUUUGUGGGGUGCUCGAUUGGCGAACGGGUGAGUAACACGUGAGUAACCUGCCCUUGACUUUGGGAUAACUUCAGGAAACUGGGGCUAAUACCGGAUAGGAUCUCCUGCUCCAUGGUGGUGGUUGGAAAGUUCCGGCGGUUGGGGAUGGACUCGCGGCUUAUCAGCUUCUUGGUGUGGUAGUGGCUUACCAAGGCUUUGACGGGUAGCCGGCCUGAGAGGGUGACCGGCCACAUGGGGACUGAGAUACGGCCCAGACUGCUACGGGAGGCAGCAGUGGGGAAUAUUGCACAAUGGGCGGAAGCCUGAUGCAGAAACGCCGCGUGCGGGAUGACGGCCUUCGGGUUGUAAACCGCUUUCGCCUGUGACGAAGCGUGAGUGACGGUAAUGGGUAAAGAAGCACCGGCUAACUACGUG